rnacentral:rRNA from 1 species
GACGAACGCUGGCGGCGUGCUUAACACAUGCAAGUCGAGCGGAAAGGCCCUUCGGGGUACUCGAGCGGCGAACGGGUGAGUAACACGUGAGUAACCUGCCCCAGACUUUGGGAUAACCCUCGGAAACGGGGGCUAAUACCGGAUACGACACAGCUUCGCAUGGGGUCUGUGUGGAAAGUUUUUCGGUUUGGGAUGGGCUCGCGGCCUAUCAGCUUGUUGGUGAGGUGAUGGCCUACCAAGGCGACGACUGGUAGCCGGCCUGAGAGGGCGACCGGCCACACUGGGACUGAGACACGGCCCAGACUCCUACGGGAGGCAGCAGUGGGGAAUAUUGCACAAUGGGCGGAAGCCUGAUGCAGCGACGCCGCGUGAGGGAUGACGGCCUUCGGGUUGUAAACCUCUUUCAGCAGGGACGAAGCGUAAGUGACGGUACCUGCAGAAGAAGCGCCGGCCAACUACGUG